ensembl:lncRNA
AAGUGAUAAUGUCAGUGGAAGGGAAUAUCAUCACAGGAUGGUCUCCUGCUGCUACAAAAUGCUCAUGCAAAACCAAAAAAGCAGUCCAUCUGCCAGUGGCUACCCCUGCUCCAUGUGAUGGCACUUCCAAGCAUUCUCUAGCAAGGCUGCACAUGCUGCCUGCAGCAGACCUGCAGCACCAGCACACACGGUUCCUGAUCUCCACAGGUUCACAAGCAGCUUUUUCCCCAGAACUUUGCAGGAUUUGGGCAAUGCUGACAGUCUGUCGCUACAAAAUCUCUUUUGUUGAAGGGACAGUGGCAAUGCUGAUUAGAGAUUUAAGCACUUGGAUACCGAGGUGUGCGCUGUGCCUUCAGAAUGGAUUUUGGUGACUUAACGAAAAUGUUUGUGGAAUGAAUUUUCAACUUAUUUUUUUCCCUGGAACAAAUGCUUUAUUUUUGUCCUCUGCAACUUCCAUGUUUUUAAGGUUGUCUUAAUGCUUGCAGCUGCAAUGGAGACUUAAUGAAUGAAGAUUUCAGGGCUCCCUAUGGAAACACUGUAUUACCUUAUUGCUGCUGCUACUCCUCUAACCCAAUUCCCUGCAAUAGGAAAUGACUGCUCAGAAGAUAUGAUGUAUGAACUGUAACACAGUCAUCUAACAUUCCUAUAGAAAGCUUAGAUUAUUCUCUCUGAGCUAACUGUGUGAUAAAGGUUGGUCUCACAUUCAUUUAUCCACAUAGCAAAUUCAGGCUGGAGCAGUAAGAUUUUGGGUUCUAACUGCAUGAAGAAAGCUGGGAAAAUAGGAGCAUUGCAGAGGGGCCACCAGGCAGGUUCUCACCUCUGGGAGGAGGUAUUUCAAUGGCCUCUGCACUCAGUCUCAGCUCCCUGGUUUGUGCAAUCCCUGAGCCUGUUAUCUCCCAGCAUAGCUGAAUGUCAAUUCCUGAAAAAACAUUGGAUAAUGCAAACGUAUUUAGUAAUGAUGAGCCAUUCUGAAUUCUCUAAGAGUCAUAAACAUGUUUGUUUUAUCAAGAUAGGGUAGGGUUUGUAGUGCAAUAGAAUGAUGAAAACAGCCUGGAUUAACAACUCUUCUCAUCUCCUGCUCUGACAGCCCCUUUCUCAAAGCACCAGUAUUACCCACUUAGAAAAUGGAUUUAUGCCAACGUUUAAAGCACUGCUUUUUCUUUCAGCACACCAGAUGGUACUAAAAAUUCAAAAUAUUUCCUACAACAGCUGUAUCUUUGACAACAAAAUUAAUAUAAGCAGAAAUACCAUUGCUGCAUGUAGACUGUAAUGGCCAGAUUAUUCAGUUUUAAGUCUAAUGUAGAAAAGCAUUCUAUAGUUAAAAAAAUAGAUCGGAUCAACUAAUAUUGCACCGAUCAUGUGACUCUGUCUGGGUUUUCAAACCAGAUGCAAAAUUUAGUGCCUUUAUAAUUUAACAGCUGGUCUGAUAAGAAUGCAAAAUACACCUUUCCCUAGAGCUAUAAUAAAUGUGUUAACACUUUCUUACAACCAGCCCUUUCCUACAACUCAUCAUUUUCUUGCCCCAAGCUCUGUCUUUAUGUAUUUGAUGACAUAAAUCUUGUAAGCAGGUUUGGACCAGAAGCUAACUUCCCUUACUCUGAUAUGUGGACAACAAUGUGUGUUUUUUCCUUGGCAUUUAAGGUGGGGGAGGAUGAGGAGUAUUUUCAAUUAAGGAAAAACAAACGAAAAAAUGCAAAUGACAUGCUUGCUAUUUCCAUCUCCUUAACAUGAAUGUGUGCAGUAGGGUUUUUUAAUGAUCUAUUUGUUAGAUCAUUAGAUAGAUCAUUAGAUAUAAGGUAAGAAACUCUCCAAGUUUUAGUAUUUUCAACAGCUUUGGCAUGCCCUGAGCAGUGAGCAAAAAGGACAGGAAGCAUGAAAACGAAGCUCAAGCCAAGUAAUUUGCCUAUCAAAAGGGUGCAAUCUUCAAGCAACGUAAUGAACACAAUUUUGUUAUCUCUAUAUUUUUCUACAUAUAUGUGAACUUUCUUGAUUCAAGCAUGUGAAUAUCUGGAAAAAAAAAAAAUCAGUU